AACGAACGCUGGCGGCGUGGCUAAGACAUGCAAGUCGAACGGACUGCUCAAUUUAUUGGACAGUUAGUGGCGAAAGGGUUAGUAACGGAUAGGUAACGUACCUUGUGCUUUGGGAUAGCGUCUCCCGACUUCGGUCGGGAUUUCCGAAAGGGGCGGUAAUACCAAAUAAUAUCAUUUGUCUAUAGGCGGAUGAUCAAAGAUUUAUCGGCAUAGGCGCGGCCUGUUUCCUAUCAGCUUGUUGGUGAGGUAAUGGCUCACCAAGGCAGCGACGGGUAGCGGGACUGAGAGGUUGGCCCGCAACAUCGGGACUGAGACACUGCCCGGACCUCCACGGAGGGCUGCAGUAACGAAUAUUGUGCAAUGGGCGAAAGCCUGACACAGCGACGCCGCGUGUAGGAGGAAGUCCUUCGGGAUGUAAACUACUGUCAGGGGGAAGAAAGUGCGCUUCGGCGCAUUGAUCUAACCCAAAGGAAGUCACGGCUAACUUCGUGCCAGCAGCCGCGGUAAGACGAAGGUGGCAAGCGUUGUUCGGUAUUACUGGGCUUAAAGCGUGUGUAGGCGGAAAAGUAAGCGUUUCGUGAAAUCCCCCGGCUUAACCGGGGAACUGCGCAACGAACUGCUUUUCUUGAGGCAGGUAGGGGUGCAUGGAACUCUUGGUGGAGCGGUGGAAUGCGUAGAUAUCAAGAGGAACGCCAGUGGAGAAAUCGGUGCACUGGGCUUGUCCUGACGCUGAGACACGAAAGCGUGGGUAGCGAACGGGAUUAGAUACCCCGGUAGUCCACGCCGUAAACGAUGCCUACUAGGUUGUGAAAGUUCUGACACUGGCACAGCCGAAGCAAAAGUGUUAAGUAGGCCGCCUGGGGAGUACGGUCGCAAGGCUAAAACUCAAAGGAAUUGACGGGGGCUCACACAAGCGGUGGAGCAUGUGGAUCAAUUCGAAGCAACGCGUAGAACCUUACCUGGGUUUGACAUGCUUGUAUGCCGCCUCCGAAAGGGGGUCUGGCUGCCCUUCGAGGUGAAACUUGCACAGGUGCUGCAUGGCUGUCGUCAGCUCGUGUCGUGAGAUGUCGGGUUAAGUCCUUUAACGAGCGAAACCCUUGCCGUUAGUUGCCAGCGGGUAAUGCCGGGGACUCUAGCGGGACUGCCGGUGUCAAACCGGAGGAAGGUGGGGACGACGUCAAGUCAUCAUGGCCUUUAUGCCCAGGGCCUCACACGUGCUACAAUGGUCAGGACAGAGCGACGCGAGACCGUGAGGUGGAGCAAAUCGCAAAAACCUGGCCCCAGUUCGGAUUGCAGGCUGUCAACUCGCCUGCAUGAAGUUGGAAUCGCUAGUAAUCGCGUAUCAGCUAUGACGCGGUGAAUAUGUUCCUGAGCCUUGUACACACCGCCCGUCAAGUGAUGGGAGUUGGGAGUACCCGAAGUCGGUUUGCUAACCCGCAAGGGAAGCGGCUGCCGACGGUAAGCCCGAUGACUGG
rnacentral:rRNA from 1 species